rnacentral:rRNA from 1 species
AUGCAGACAAAAAUGCAUCCAUCCCGCGCUAAUCUUAAAAUUCUCUAUGCUGUAAAAAAAGUCAUAAAAUUCUCUAGAAAUGUUGAGAAAACUUCAAAAACAAGCUUAUCUGGCGCAAUUGCUUGGAAUUUUCUACUCGUCCAUAUUGCAUAUGGUCUGGAAGGCUUGCCCCCUCCCUCGUCCCCAAGGUCAAGUUCUUUGCUUGGUUGGUUACUCAAGAUUGGAUUUGGACAGCUGGUAGGUUCACUAAGAAGGGCCGGCCAAACUGUGCCCUUUGCCCCCUUUGUAAAUGGUGCAAGAAUCCAUGACACACCUCUUCACCAAGUGCUGCUUUACCAUUCACUCAUAAGACCUCGCAAAUGGGUGGCUACAUCUCUAGAGCAAUAA